rnacentral:rRNA from 1 species
AUUGAACGCUGGCGGCAUGCCUUACACAUGCAAGUCGAACGGCAGCGCGGGGCAACCUGGCGGCGAGUGGCGAACGGGUGAGUAAUAUAUCGGAACGUACCCUAGAGUGGGGGAUAACGUAGCGAAAGUUACGCUAAUACCGCAUACGAUCUAUGGAUGAAAGUGGGGGAUCGCAAGACCUCAUGCUCCUGGAGCGGCCGAUAUCUGAUUAGCUAGUUGGUAGGGUAAAAGCCUACCAAGGCAUCGAUCAGUAGCUGGUCUGAGAGGACGACCAGCCACACUGGAACUGAGACACGGUCCAGACUCCUACGGGAGGCAGCAGUGGGGAAUUUUGGACAAUGGGCGAAAGCCUGAUCCAGCAAUGCCGCGUGAGUGAAGAAGGCCUUCGGGUUGUAAAGCUCUUUUGUCAGGGAAGAAACGGUGGCCUCUAAUACAGGUUGCUAAUGACGGUACCUGAAGAAUAAGCACCGGCUAACUACGUGCCAGCAGCCGCGGUAAUACGUAGGGUGCAAGCGUUAAUCGGAAUUACUGGGCGUAAAGCGUGCGCAGGCGGUUUUGUAAGUCUGUCGUGAAAUCCCCGGGCUCAACCUGGGAAUUGCGAUGGAGACUGCAAGGCUAGAAUCUGGCAGAGGGGGGUAGAAUUCCACGUGUAGCAGUGAAAUGCGUAGAGAUGUGGAGGAACACCGAUGGCGAAGGCAGCCCCCUGGGUCAAGAUUGACGCUCAUGCACGAAAGCGUGGGGAGCAAACAGGAUUAGAUACCCUGGUAGUCCACGCCCUAAACGAUGUCUACUAGUUGUCGGGUCUUAAUUGACUUGGUAACGCAGCUAACGCGUGAAGUAGACCGCCUGGGGAGUACGGUCGCAAGAUUAAAACUCAAAGGAAUUGACGGGGACCCGCACAAGCGGUGGAUGAUGUGGAUUAAUUCGAUGCAACGCGAAAAACCUUACCUACCCUUGACAUGGCUGGAACCCUGGAGAGAUCCGGGGGUGCUCGAAAGAGAACCAGUACACAGGUGCUGCAUGGCUGUCGUCAGCUCGUGUCGUGAGAUGUUGGGUUAAGUCCCGCAACGAGCGCAACCCUUGUCAUUAGUUGCUACGAAAGAGCACUCUAAUGAGACUGCCGGUGACAAACCGGAGGAAGGUGGGGAUGACGUCAAGUCCUCAUGGCCCUUAUGGGUAGGGCUUCACACGUCAUACAAUGGUACAUACAGAGCGCCGCCAACCCGCGAGGGGGAGCUAAUCGCAGAAAGUGUAUCGUAGUCCGGAUUGUAGUCUGCAACUCGACUACAUGAAGUUGGAAUCGCUAGUAAUCGCGGAUCAGCAUGUCGCGGUGAAUACGUUCCCGGGUCU